AACGAACGCUGGCGGCAUGCCUAACACAUGCAAGUCGAACGAGACCUUCGGGUCUAGUGGCGAACGGGUGCGUAACGCGUGGGAACCUGCCCUUAGGUUCGGAAUAACUCCCCGAAAGGGGUGCUAAUACCGGAUAAUGUCUUCGGACCAAAGAUUUAUCGCCUUUGGAUGGGCCCGCGUUGGAUUAGCUAGUUGGUAGGGUAAAAGCCUACCAAGGCGACGAUCCAUAGCUGGUCUGAGAGGAUGAUCAGCCACACUGGGACUGAGACACGGCCCAGACUCCUACGGGAGGCAGCAGUGGGGAAUAUUGGACAGUGGGCGAAAGCCUGAUCCAGCAAUGCCGCGUGAGUGAUGAAGGCCUUAGGGUUGUAAAGCUCUUUUACCCGGGAUGAUAAUGACAGUACCGGGAGAAUAAGCUCCGGCUAACUCCGUG
rnacentral:rRNA from 1 species